rnacentral:lncRNA from 1 species
AAAAAGAAGAAAGAAGGAAGAAAAAAGAUAAAGUCUAGUUUUUGCAGUCAAAGGUGUCUUCGAUCGGAUCUUCAUCGGUUAGCAUCGUAUGUUCCGGACCACAUACGGUAGGUGAAUGAUCAGGAGAAGGCACCAUCACAUGUCCAUCAGGGUUUGCUGCCGACUCCUCAUCCAUUGGAACAGCGUUGGGUUGGUUAAUCAUUUCAAAACAUUCAUUAAUGUUUUCCUUCAAUUUUUCCAAGUCGGCAACAACUCGGUCCCUUUCUGCGACCAAAGAAUUAUAGAACCUUCUAAGAAGGUCGUAGUCUAACUUAAGCAUUUCAUAUUCGUCACGAAGCUCUUCAUGAUCGUGACAAAUCUGAUCGUAUAAACCUCUUAAAUAUUUUCUUUCCUCGUAAUUUGUGUCCUUAACUUCAAAGCCUAGCUCAUUGCGAAGCCUCCCAAUAGCAAUCCUUGCAGCAUCCUCUUGGGUACGAUUAGCAUUCGAAGAUGGUGCGCCCCAACUUGUAAUGACUUCUAUGAUUCGGCUACUUCUUGGAAUUUCAACAUCGACGUAAGAGCAAAAUCUCAAAUCUGCAUCUA